GUAAAAUCAUCCGCUGCUUUGUUUCCAUAGGACAUUCGGGAUACCUACUGGUUAACCUGUAGCCUAGGAACAUCGCGCCGAAUCAUUCUAGUGCGGGGCGCUCAAAAUGGUAACCGGAUUUAUAGUAUUAGCGUGUGCAGCUGCUUUUGCGACAAUUUGGACUGGAUUGUUUCUCGCUUUUGGAUCUAGUUCCGUUUACUUCAACAGUGUCGCGACCACCACUGAAAGUGUUCCGAUUCCUAUAGAACUAAGUAUAGAGGGCCGCGGGUACUUGAGAUAUAUUCCCUCAUGAGCCAUGUAUAGAUGCGUUAAGUCUACUGAAAAUUUGAAAACGAAUUGGUGCACUGCCGCGGUAAGAGCGACUGUCUCUGUUUGAUCACAAGAGGCAAGGUUUUCAUCGAAGAUUUGAAUCUAUCAUCAUCCUCAUCAUCAUUGGAGAUGACGAUGAUUAUGCUUGAGAUAUUAUCAAACGCAGUUGGUACUGACGCAGACCGAAUCGAGGCGAAUCCAUAAAACGAAAUACGGCAAAAUAAUAAAUAUAAUGAUGUUAAUUAAUACUUAAAAAAUAGUACAAUUUGUUAAUUUUAUCAA